UUAAAAUAAUGAAAUACUGCAGACGAGAGGGUUGGAAAAAACGUGACCUGUGUUUCAGUGGCCACUGUUCUCAUUCCCCAUGGGGUGGGGGGCAGGUUGCCAUGUUGCUGGAGGCCUGCUGGUUCUGUGUGGGCCAGUCCUUUGGAGGGCAGGCCAGGAGGGACACAGCACCACAGUGACCAGCACUGACAUGGUCCUGUGAUGAGGGGCAGACCCAGAGUGCCAUGUGGGACCUUGUGUCCUCUGAGCAGGGAGCCCAAAGGAGAGUUGAUUCCUGAGAUCAUGACCUGAGCUGAAGGCAGAUGCCUUACUGACUGUGCCACAGGUGCCCCAGGUAUCAGCAUUUUUAUUUGCAUCUACCUGCACCCACUACCACCUUGACCUCUGGAAAUGCUGUCCUUGAGACAAAAAUGCUAUUGGCUGCUUUCCUCCUCUAGGCCCUGUCCCUUUGAUGUUAAGCGGUGGAGUUGGUGGGAUCUGCCUCUGGCUUGCUGUUUACCCAGUGGAUUGUGUCAAAUCCAGAAUUCAAGUUCUUUCCAUGUCUGGAAAACAGGCAGGAUUUAUCGGAACCUUUAUAAGCAUUGUGAAAAAUGAAGGAAUAACGGCCUUAUACUCUGGACUGAAACCCACAAUGAUUUGAGCGUUCCCUGCCAAUGGGGCGCUCUUUCUGGCCUACGAAUACAGCAGGAAGCUGAUGAUGAGCCAGUUCGAAGCCUACUGAAGUGUCCUGGCGAACCAAGGUCCAAGUCUAGGCACGUGACCACUACAGUUCAUCUCAGGGUUUCACGGAGUACAAGACCAAUGGGGAAUUAUUUUGGUUUCAUAGGAGUUCUGUUUUUUUGGUCUUCCCUUAUUCUACUCUACAUCUUAAACUUUGUGAAAAGGGCCUCUAUUAAUUUCUGCCCAUAAUUGUACUGAAAUCGAACUAAGUUGCUGCUCUUGUCCUUGGUGGGACAUUUAGGGCGAGCCGCCGGCCCUGCACAGGAUCUCAAAGGCUAAAUGUAGUUCAGGACUUUGCAUAAACCUGUAUGUGUCCAUGCAGCUUGGAUGGUUACAUGUUAGUAAGGCAUCAUUUGGUUCCAUGUUUAAUUCUCAGAUCUCACCAGAAAAACUCUGAGGUAACCAUGAUUCAUGAAGAUGGCUAUGAAUGAUUCCUUACUCUAGAUGUAGGCUCUCUUUUAGAACCUUAGUACACGCACUAUCUAUCCUAAGUGGCUGAAGUUAAGUUUUUCUGUGGUGCUUGACAGCUGAACUGUCCAUGUAGAUUUUGUGGAGGAGAACAUACCUGCAAACUGGUGUGGCUUCCAUGUUCACGAUUUAAGUUAGGAGUAAGCCUCUUGGAUUUUCCCAAGAUGUUCUACUGUUAAAAUAGUGCCAUUCACUUCCUAGGUGGGAUCACCUUGUGCCCCUGACACAUUGUCAGGUGUGGUGAGAGCAGCACGCCCCUCACCUGUGCCAGCUCCCUUCUCUCCCAAAGAACUCCCCCUCUGCUGGGCCUUAGGUUGAGGGAGGUGCUGAGGGGAGGGCGCCCUGCUGCUGUGCUUUGUGAAGGCCCAUGACCGACAGCAGGCCUGCUUCUUCCGUCUCUGGGUCCUGGCCUGGGUAAGAUUCCAGAUUAUUUCUUUGGACCGUCUCUGGCCUGCUGAUGCACUUUGGACCACUCACUCACUCACCGCCUCCACCAAUCAGAAACCCUUCCGGGGAGCAGAGUGCCAAAGCCAAGAGAAGCCCUUGUUCCCUGUCUGGUGUCUGAAGGACCGUGCUCGUGGGCAAGGUCCUCUUUCUGAUGGAACUGGACAGAACCUAGGGCUUGUCCCCCACAGUGAGUGAUGUUGGGGGUGACCCUCUUGUUUAAGUUUCUCGGGAUCGGUCACUGCCAUGUUUCUUAUUGGGUUGGAGCCUUUUACAUUUGGUACUGGCAGUCCGUGGAUUUUCAGGAUUGUAUAUAGGGGCUGACUUUAUAAAGCAAUGAAACAAGCCAAGUAAUUUUAUUAAGCUAUGCCAUAUGAAUGCACUAACCACCACCACAAAACUCCAGGUCACCUGGUGUAAGAGGGUCCCUUCUCGUCCCCACUAGGCAAGCCUCAUCAUACUGUGCUGCUCCAAGAUCAGCAAGGGCUCUCUCAGAAACAAAUGUUCUUAAGCAGGCUGACGCUGCUAACAUCUGUCCCGGGUGUGUCUGUCCUUGUAGGCACAGUGUACCCCUCGAGUGAAACCUCUGGUUUUCUGAAGCGUUUUGUUCUCUGCAGAGGCUCUGUGCUAACUCUAGCCAUGCACCAGAAGCCAGAGGGUCGGGGCAGUGAGCAGCUGCUCUUUCUAUAUACUGCAGUUGUGCAAGUUGGCCCACCAGCAGCAUUCUUCUUCUGCCUGGUUGCGUGGAUGGGGUUGAUGUAGAGGAAACUGUUCUAUUUUUUAAAAAUAGCUAAAUUUCCUAUUACGUUUUGGAUAAUUCUAUUCCAGGGUAGUGAGAUCUAUUU